UACGUAGGGUGCGAGCGUUAAUCGGAAUUACUGGGCGUAAAGCGUGCGUAGGCGGUUCGUUAUGUCUGCUGUGAAAUCCCCGGGCUCAACCUGGGAAUGGCAGUGGAAACUGGCGGGCUUGAGUGUGGCAGAGGGGGGGUGGAAUUCCGCGUGUAGCAGUGAAAUGCGUAGAGAUGCGGAGGAACACCGAUGGCGAAGGCAGCCCCCUGGGCUAACACUGACGCUGAGGCACGAAAGCGUGGGGAGCAAACAGG
rnacentral:rRNA from 1 species